rnacentral:rRNA from 1 species
UACGAAGGGGGCUAGCGUUGCUCGGAAUGACUGGGCGUAAAGGGCGCGUAGGCGGAUGGCUUUGUCGGGCGUGAAAUUCCAGGGCUUAACCUUGGGGCUGCGUUCGAGACGGGUUGUCUUGAGUGGGGAAGAGGGUCGUGGAAUUCCCAGUGUAGAGGUGAAAUUCGUAGAUAUUGGGAAGAACGCCGGUGGCGAAGGCGGCGACCUGGUCCUUGACUGACGCUGAGGAGCGAAAGCGUGGGGAGCGAACAGG